rnacentral:lncRNA from 1 species
UCUCCCGAAAGCAAGUGUGCCCCCACCAGUGCGCGUAGCAUUUCCCCACACUCCGCGCCGCGCCGGAGCCAAAGAAAAAGAAAACCCAAAAAAAACCGCAGAAAAACCAAACAAAACCGUGGAUCCCGACGAGGAGAAAGCCGAGACGGAAACCGAAGCCAGCGAGAAAGAAAAAAAGAAAAAAAGAAAGCUUUGACAUGUCAGCCGCUCCCGCACCAUUCCCCUUCUUCCUCCUCCUCUUCCUCUAGAACUCCUCCUCUUCCCCGCUCCCGCCGCCUCUUCCUUCUCCUCCACCACCGCGCGCCUCGACGUCACGCGGGGCGGAGCAGUUGCUGCGCGAGGGAGGGGGGGAGGGGGGGCGACCGUUUCCGCGGCCUCUCUCUCUGUCUCGGAUUCGUCUGAGGUCCGCACCGAACGGUUCACCUAAUCCGCCCGCCCUCGUCAAAGGGGGGCGGUGCAAGAAAUCCAGGAGGGGGAGGAGGGAUUGGUUGGUUGGUUGAUUGGUUCUUUGGUGGGAGGGGGCAUGGCGGCGGCAUCGUCGCCGGUGGAGUUCCUGCUGCGGAGGAUGCCCAC